rnacentral:rRNA from 1 species
UACGUAGGGAGCAAGCGUUGUCCGGAAUCAUUGGGCGUAAAGAGCGCGUAGGCGGCCCAGUAAGUCCGCUCUGAAAGUCAGGGGCUCAACCCCUGGAUGCGGGUGGAUACUGCUGGGCUAGAGUCCGGAAGAGGCGAGUGGAAUUCCUGGUGUAGCGGUGAAAUGCGUAGAUAUCAGGAGGAAUACCUAUGGCGAAAGCAGGUAUCUGGGCCAUCACUGACGCUGAGCUGCGAAAGCUAGGGGAGCAAACAGG